rnacentral:rRNA from 1 species
ACUCCUACGGGAGGCAGCAGUGGGGAAUAUUGCACAAUGGGCGCAAGCCUGAUGCAGCGACGCCGCGUGGGGGAUGACGGCCUUCGGGUUGUAAACCUCAUUCAGUAGGGACGAAGCGCAAGUGACGGUACCUACAGAAGAAGGACCGGCCAACUACGUGCCAGCAGCCGCGGUAAU